AACAGAUGAGAUGAUAGAGAAGAGAGGAGGAAGAGGAUGCCAUGCGAGAGAACUGGUAACAAAAUGAAUUGAUUGAGAAUAGAAAAUUAAGAGGAAAAGAAAGGAAAGAAAAAUAAAAAAAAACAGAGCAGAACAGAGGCCCAAGGGCAGUGGUCGCCGGAGAUUGGCUGAAAGUCACCUCACAGCGUUCGUCGGAAGUUGGACGAUGCUUGUCGGAGGUCGGCGGUGGCCAUGGGUGCUGAUCGAAGGUGGAAGGUGGCUGAAGAAGAUCGCAGUGGCCAUGGGUUCUGUCGCUGAAGAAGAAGCUGAAGAAGAAGAUGAAUAGGGAGAGAUGAAACGCGCGUUUCAUUUAUUUAUGUGCGAAAUCCCA
rnacentral:lncRNA from 1 species